GUGGAUUAGAUACCCUAGUAGUCCAUGCCGUAAACGAUGAGUGCUAGGUGUUGGAGGGUUUCCGCCCUUCAGUGCCGCAGCUAACGCAUUAAGCACUCCGCCUGGGGAGUACGACCGCAAGGUUGAAACUCAAAGGAAUUGACGGGGGCCCGCACAAGCGGUGGAGCAUGUGGUUUAAUUCGAAGCUACGCGAAGAACCUUACCAGGUCUUGACAUCUUGCGCCAACCCUAGAGAUAGGGCGUUUCCUUCGGGAACGCAAUGACAGGUGGUGCAUGGCUGUCGCCAGCU
rnacentral:rRNA from 1 species